rnacentral:tRNA from 1 species
GCUUUUUUAGUUUAAGAAAAAUUUUUGUUUUGUAAACAAGAGAUAGCAUUUAAGUUGUUAAAAAGCG